ensembl:snRNA U2 U2 spliceosomal RNA
ACUGCUUCUCGGCCUUUUGGCUAAGAUCAAGUGAAGACAAAGAUGUAAUGCAAUUAUGAAUUUAGGACAAGUUUUUCCAAAUUAAGCACACAUCCAUACAGGCUACCUUAAGUAUGUGCACUGUAGAUUUAUGUUAACAAUUUUAAAGUAUUUUGACAGUUUUCA